rnacentral:rRNA from 1 species
AUUGAACGCUGGCGGCAGGCCUAACACAUGCAAGUCGAACGGUAACAGGAAGAAGCUUGCUUCUUUGCUGACGAGUGGCGGACGGGUGAGUAAUGUCUGGGAAACUGCCUGAUGGAGGGGGAUAACUACUGGAAACGGUAGCUAAUACCGCAUAACGUCGCGAGACCAAAGAGGGGGACCUUCGGGCCUCUUGCCAUCGGAUGUGCCCAGAUGGGAUUAGCUAGUAGGUGGGGUAACGGCUCACCUAGGCGACGAUCCCUAGCUGGUCUGAGAGGAUGACCAGCCACACUGGAACUGAGACACGGUCCAGACUCCUACGGGAGGCAGCAGUGGGGAAUAUUGCACAAUGGGCGCAAGCCUGAUGCAGCCAUGCCGCGUGUAUGAAGAAGGCCUUCGGGUUGUAAAGUACUUUCAGCGGGGAGGAAGGGAGUAAAGUUAAUACCUUUGCUCAUUGACGUUACCCGCAGAAGAAGCACCGGCUAACUCCGU